rnacentral:rRNA from 1 species
GACGAACGCUGGCGGCGUGCCUAAUACAUGCAAGUAGAACGCUGAAGGAGGAGCUUGCUUCUCUGGAUGAGUUGCGAACGGGUGAGUAACGCGUAGGUAACCUGCCUGGUAGCGGGGGAUAACUAUUGGAAACGAUAGCUAAUACCGCAUAAGAGUAGAUGUUGCAUGACAUUUGCUUAAAAGGUGCAAUUGCAUCACUACCAGAUGGACCUGCGUUGUAUUAGCUAGUUGGUGAGGUAACGGCUCACCAAGGCAACGAUACAUAGCCGACCUGAGAGGGUGAUCGGCCACACUGGGACUGAGACACGGCCCAGACUCCUACGGGAGGCAGCAGUAGGGAAUCUUCGGCAAUGGACGGAAGUCUGACCGAGCAACGCCGCGUGAGUGAAGAAAGGUUUUUCGGGAUCGUAAAAGCUCUGUUGUAAAGAAGAAAGAAACG